CUCUCUCUCUCUCUCUCUCUCUCUCCUUCACUUCUCUCUCUGCUAGGGUUGAUCUCCGACGACGAUUGAAGCUCUGACGGCCGGCCGAGUGAAGCUUCGUCGGAUCAUGUUCCCACUGUUUUUGACAAUUUCAGUGCCAAUAUCAUGGUUGAUGGUCAAGCUGUGAAUCUGGGUUUGUGGGAUACUGCUGGUAUAAUAAGUUAGUGGAAAAGGGGGGAAAGAAAGACAUAGGAAUCUGACAACCAGCAGAACAAACGCAAUUUUGGUUGCUAGACACUAGUAGAGUUUUUGAUGCAUUUGCGACACCUACAUUAGUAGAGGGUGGUUUGGAAUACUUACUCUUUUUUUUUUUUUGUCAACACUAGAUAGAAAGGUUUUUAAUGCCAUGAUGCUUCCAUCUUUCUGAGAAAAUUUACUUUCUAGCUAAUAUCUUAUAUCUUCAAAGCCAUUAUGUAUAUCAUGAUGAGAGGGGGAGAGAGACAAACAAUUUGUGACUUGCGAGUUAUGAAUUGAUUUUCAAUUCAAUUCAUAGGUAUAUUUAUUUGCUUGAUUAUGUUCUUGUGUUAAUGUUCUUUGUUAGCGUUGUGAUUAGGCUUGAAAAGAAUUUUUAAGGUUAUGUCUUGCUCUGUUCUUAGUUGACCUAAUUUAUAUGUGAAAAGUUAUUGAUUUACAACC